CGUGGACCUGCCAUUGUGUGCUCGCCAAACCCAGGGUGGGCUGCCAUCCAGUUUUGGCCAGGUGGCUUGACCAGAAGUUGGCUGCUGGUCUUCUGGGGGAGAUUUUGUUUUCCUUUAAGAGAGAGCUCCAGGAGGAGACAGCAGAUAGACCUCACAGCCUCUCCUUCCUCUGAACUGUGUGGUAUAGGGGGCAACGCCUGGCUGUUGCAGCCCUGACUCCCGGACGCUCCCAUCUGAGCAAGGGGGGAGGGUGGGAAAAACCUGCCUUGACGGGGCCACCGACAGCACCGUGGCCACUCUGCCUCUGCACUUGCCACAGGAGGAAGCCUUCCCUGGUCCAACUGGAAACCCAACUCAGGUAGCCCCUCGCACCCGCUGCCAGGCAGCUGUCCCAUGCCACCCCUCGUGGUCUGUGGCUCAGGUUCUGGGCUUCUGUCCUGGCUUGCUUACCUGGCAGGAUGCCAGCUCAGUCACCAUCUCCCCACUUGCCUGACCUUCUCCCCCUCCCGCUCCUGAGUGCGCCCUGUGUUGCCGUGUGGCUGUGUCUGCACCUGUCUUGUCUUUGUCAGUAUUCACGUUUGAAUUGGUCGCACUGCCCAGCACACAGUCUGGGUGAGGCUCAGUGCAGUCAGUGAGCGGUAACUCGUUCUUGUGUAAUGAACACAUGAAGCGGGGUGGAUGCCUGCCAGACACCAGGGUUCAGCCUGGAAGGGGAUUUGAAGAGACGUGUGAGUCCCCAGGAGUGGCUCAGAGUCAGGUUGGUGAAAUCUGAGGGCACCAGGUCUUGGAAAGACAGGUGUUGGCCCAUCACCAGGAAAUGUGUGCCAGCCGGAGACCCUGGGCAGGGUGGGACAUGCCCCUUCUCAGUGCCCCCUGCUCCUCCUCUUCAGCUGGGUGCUGGGUGCAGAACAAAGAAAUACUUUGCUCUUGUUCUCUCUUAUAAGUGGGAGCUGAACAAUGUGAACACAUGGACCCAGGGAGGAGAACAACACACACUGGGGCCUGUCGGGGGGCCGGGCAGGGAGAGGGAGAGCAUCAGGAAAAAUAUGGACUUGCUGGGCUUAAUGCCUAGGCGAUGGGUUGAUAGGUGCAGCAAAUCACCAUGGCACACGUUUACGUAUGUAACAAACCUGCACGUCCUGCACAUGUACCCCGGAACGUAAAAGAAAACAAAAAGAAGAAAUGCUUUGCUCUCCAGAAUCCCUCUUUCCCCCAGACUGGACAGAAAGGAAGCCGAAGGAAACAUCUGAGUGGCUGGUGUCUCUCUUUUACAUUCCACCGUGGGAGGCAGGGGACUUUUUUGAAUUAGCAGUUUUCUUGUUCAAAGGGACAGUCUCCAGACGGCAUUGGGAGAAGUCUGUCUGUAACAUUCUGUGUCUUCUCAUGACCACAACUUAUCUGAGGAAUGACACUAUUUCCAGAACAGAUUCUGAUGGAGAUUUUGGACCAAUUUUGAAAAUGCUGUAGGGAUAAACAUUCUCAGAUGUGCUGAACUUGGGAUGAUGUGUGGAUACUUUAAGAGGAGCAAAACCAAACAAAACAAAAUAGCGGCCUUUUACUCAGACAGUGUUCCAGUCAGAGAUGGGCGUGCUGUGUAUGAGGGUGAAGUUCGUGGCGGUGCAGGAUAAAGGAGGAGGAAGACAAACUUUGAGCAUUUGCAGGUUGAUAUGUACUCACGAUCUUAUUUCAUCUUUCCAACAACCAGUGUGGAGUGGAAUAUUUUAUUUUUCAUGAAUUUUUUCCUCCACUUUAUUGAAGUAUAAUUAGUAUAUCAAAAAACUGCACAUAAUAAUGUAUCUAAUUUGGUGAGUUUGGACAAAUGUAUACAACUCAUGUUACUCUCUCCCCAAUGCAGAUAAUAAAUACGUCUAUCACCUCUUCAAAU
rnacentral:lncRNA from 10 species